GUUAUUUGGCACGAGGAUAUUAGCAUAUAAACUUUGUGGGCAGGAAUGUAGGAGUCACUGUUUGGCCUAUCUGUGACAUACCCUGUAAACUUGGUGCCAAUGUCUAAGUUUUUGUUUUGUUUUUCUUGCACAGGUGUGGAGGCUGACUUAAUGGGCUGUACAACCAAGUCAAGUAUUCUGGGAAUUGCUGGCCCUGCUUGCCUCAAGUGUCUGUCUUUGGACCAGUGGUCUGAUCCAGGAACUAUGUGAACUGUUUGAGGGAGGGGCACUUCCUACAUUAAUUCAGAAAUUUCAAUGGGAAGUUUCCACAUAGCUAAACGUGUGCCUGAACAGCCGUGGAAAUGCCAGUCUUUGGGGGAAGCUGGGCUGAGCCAAGUUCUGGUUCUUGACAGUAAGAUGCAAGGCUGAGAAAGACGUGCUUCUGGAAGCAUUCUCAAGGGAGCAACACAGAAGCAAUAGUGAAGACUAUCAGUCAGUGGUAAGCUGUAACAGACACUGUCGCACUCUGCCCAGUCUGCCUUUGCUAAAGGACUUGUUUCGGGAGCUGUAGGGAGUGUGCUUGGCACCUAGCUUUGGCAGCCAGUCCUGGAACAGAGAUGGCCUGGGGAGGUUCCAUGCACACUGAUCAAGGCAAGAC